UGAUAAUCUGUUUACCUAAAAACAGCCCACCACAAUCCAUGUUUACCAGCUGUGAAAGUGCAGGCCAAAAAUCUUCCUUCACCUGUGGGCCUCUACCCACAUGUAGAUAAGCACUUCAGGAGAAACCUGCCUGUGAUCUGCUAAGAUGCAAAGAUUCAACUCUGGCCCAUUGUCAUCCCAACACCUCAUCUGCCAUCAGUUUCGUUUAGUGUCGGUCUAUUGCAAAAGUUCUUAUAAACUUUAAAUGAGACUUUGUGUUAAGCAGGGGUUUCCAAACUUUUCAUUCCACAACAUAUUAAGCCCAGGAUACACAGCAGGAUUUUUGCAAUCCAAUAAAACCUUAUCACACUGUGUGACAAGGAUUGUUUAAACUUCAGCAGUAGACUGUCGAUGAAGACACCUAUUGCAUCUGAGGCUGCGACAUCCGUCAUCAGCAUGCGCUAGUGGUAAACAAAUACAGGUAUGCAGGUCGUAGAAACAAACACAUUGUUGAUGUGCGAUGAUCAUCCUGAACUUCUUACACUGUCAUAAAACUAUCGUAGGUGUCUUUGGUCCAAGGACUGGGAAAACAGACGUCUUUAAACCUCUCACACUGUAUGAGAUAGGACCACCAAUUAAGAGCCACGAUCACAGAAAUCUCCACGAUUGUUUCACGAUUGGUAAUCUUUCAUCUGGGACAGCCAAAAAUCGUGCCGUGUAUUAUGGGCUUUAGACAGGUGUAAUCUUAAAGUAUAUCAAAACCAUUGCUAAUAAUUAAUUGGACAAACCAUCACUACAAUGCAACACUCACUAUCUUACGGUGCGACCCACAAGUGGGUCUUCACCCACAGUUUAAAAACCCUGAGUAUGAGAAAGAGUAUGUUGUAUUGUAAUUAAAGUCACAUCUAAGUGUUAUGGAACAGUUUGUCAUUAUAUUCACAGUAUUACAUGGUUCUU